rnacentral:lncRNA from 1 species
AGAUAUUAGGUGCAAUUUUCUAAAAUUUAGGCCUUGUUAUAAAUUAGCUUAUUUGUGUUACCAAUUAAACACACCCUUAGUCCUGAAAAUCGACAAAAUCUAUCUUAUUUAGUCGCAUUAAUAUAGAAGACGACGACUUAAAUAACAUUUGCCCUAUUUCAUGGCAUUAAUUACCAUCACUUUUUAUAGUACAAAGUCAAAACAACAAUACAUAAUAAUGAAAUUCUUAUUAUAAUAGGACAUUUGUGUACUAUUUUGUAUGAUCAUGUAUGAACAUAAUCUUAUUACAAAGUCAAAACAACAAUACAUAAUAAGUCUUACCACUGAAACGACGUUAAAACACAUUUACAAUAUUUGUUUAUACAUUUCGGGAUGAAAGGACGUUGGCAUGAUAAUUUAACACAAUCUGAAUCGCUAAAACAUUUAAUCCUAGUUUUUUUGAACAAAUGGUUAAAUCCCCCUGCAAUGAUAAAAUAUAAUAAAAUAGUAUAACUAAAGUGUUAUAAAAACAUGUACUCCUACGAAUUAAAGAAGGAAAAUUAAAUUGCAUUUUUAAACUCCUAAUUUUUAUAAACUUGCGAUUUUAACUCUUUAACUUUGAAAAUAACACUUUUAGUCUUUUAACUUUGACCCUUAAUUUAGCCCUUUUCAAAAAAGGAUGACCCCCACUAAUUUUGAUCAAGUCAACGUACAUGUAGCAAGUGAUUCAUAUGUCACAUCAGCAUGUUUUGCCACAUGAACAAUGGCGUGACGUGAAUCACUUGCCACAUUUGCGUUGACUUUGUCAAGGGGUCAAAAUUGCAAGUUUUGUGAAUGUUAAAGUGCCAAAAUUACUAUUUUAAAAGUUAAGAGAUUAAAAUUACAAAUUUGUAAAAAUUAAGGGAUCAAAAGUACAAUUUAACCAAUAAUAAACUUUAAAAAAGAUAAGAAUGACUUACCUUCGACGUCUGUUACAUCAAUAAAUAGCAAAAGGAAAAUAAUUAUAUUAUAAACUAACUUUAUAAUUUCAGCCAUAUAAUUAUAUUUUCCACAAGAAAUGUAACAAUUAGUCUUACCACUGCAUUAUUUAUAAAGUUCAUUUCCACUCCUUACCUCAAUUAAAUUAUUAUUAUUAGAUGUCCCUUAAAUACAUGAAUGAGUUAUUUUAUCCUUUAGAAAACUUAAU